rnacentral:rRNA from 1 species
ACAUAUUUUAGAGCUAAAAUCAUUUUUAUAAAAUAAUAAAAAUUACUUUCAAAUCCAAAUUCAACCUAUUAUAAAAAUAAGAAUCCCAAAAUAAAUUAAAUGUAACCCAUUUCUUCUUUAUUAUAAACUACACCUUGAUCUGAAUUAUUUUUUUAACAAAAUCUUAAAUAUUAAAUUUCUAUAAAAAUAUUUAUAUAACAACGAUAUGUAAACUAAUAAAAAAAGUAAAUUUAAUCGUGGAUUAUCAUUUAUGAAACAGGUUCCUCUGAAAAGAUAAAAUACCGCCAGAAUUUUUAAUUUUAAAGAUUAUAUCUAAUACUAAUUUAAUUUUAAUUAUUACUUUUCCAAUAAUAGGGUAUCUAAUCCUAGUCUAUAAAUAAAUUUUCUCAACUUCAUUAACUUAUACAAAAUUAUUAAAAAAUUAAAAUUUCACCUAAUAAUUUUUUAACAUAACUUUAUACUUAAAUAAAUUGUUAUUAAUAAAAUUAAAUAAUAUUAUUUGGAUAACCGCA